UACGUAGGGUGCGAGCGUUGUCCGGAAUUAUUGGGCGUAAAGGGCUCGUAGGCGGUCUGUCACGUCGGGAGUGAAAACACGGGGCUUAACCCCGUGCCUGCUUCCGAUACGGGCAGACUAGAGGUAUGCAGGGGAGAACGGAAUUCCUGGUGUAGCGGUGAAAUGCGCAGAUAUCAGGAGGAACACCGGUGGCGAAGGCGGUUCUCUGGGCAUGUUCUGACGCUGAGGAGCGAAAGUGUGGGGAGCGAACAGG
rnacentral:rRNA from 1 species